rnacentral:rRNA from 1 species
GUCUUUUUGAUUAUAAUUUAAAGUCGAAUUUGCCCACUGAUUUAAUUAAAGGGCUGCAGUAAAUUGACUGUACAAAGGUAGCAUAAUCAUUAGUCUUUUAAUUGAAGACUUGUAUGAAAGAUUUGAUGAAAUAUAAACUGUCUCUUUAUUAAUAAUAGAAUUUAAUUUUUUAGUAAAAAAGCUAAAAUUUUUUUAAAAGACGAGAAGACCCUAUAGAGUUUUAUAAUUAAGUUAAUUAAAAAUUUAUUAUAAAUAUUAAGUAAAAAUUAAAUUAAUUAUUUUAUUGGGGUGAUAAAAAAAUUAAAUAAACUUUUUUUAUAAAAAAAAACAUAAAUUAAUGAUUGAAUGAUCCAUUUAUUAUGAUUAAAAGAAAAAAUUACCUUAGGGAUAACAGCGUAAUUUUUUUUUUUAGUUCAAAUAAAAAAAAAAGUUUGCGACCUCGAUGUUGGAUUAAGAUACAAUUUAAAUGUAAAAGUUUAAAAUUUUGAUCUGUUCGAUCAUUAAAAUCUUACA